rnacentral:lncRNA from 1 species
GUACUCAUGUAGUGUUAGACACUUAGACUAUACAAGUAUCACUAGUCAAUCGACCAACAAUCAAACAAGAACAUGAUCGACCAACCAAUGAUACCGCAUAGCUUUAAUAUCCACUCACAAGCAAUCCUUCAAACACAUACAGGCCAACGUCAGGCCUACACUAACCAAAUACGCAUCAAGCCUAGUCUGGUACCUACACCAGACUUAGGACUUAAUGUCAGAACCUGCAAACAAAUCAAUCAACAA